AUCUGGUGGGGAUAGCUCAGUAGGUAGAGCAUGAGACUCUUAAUCUUAGAGUCAUGGGUUUGAGUCCCACACUGGGCA